rnacentral:lncRNA from 1 species
GGGAGCAACCCAAUUUAGGGGGAAAACCCCCCACAGGUCUCCCAUCUUUUUGUAGGCAUCCCUGCACUGAUUUCUGCCUCUAUUGCUGUAAGUCCAUAUUGGCAAAAGCCCAUAUUGGCAUCAUAGAGACUCUGAUCUCUUAUUAUAAACUCCACCUCCAUGCUGCUUCACCAUUACCCAUCCCGGGAAAUGAUCUAAAUUCCUUAAGACUCUGAACUUGCUAAUUAAUUCCUUCUAAUGUUCCACAUACUUGAACACAGAGUCACAUUUGAAAUAGUCUUAGGUUAUUUUAUAGCCUCUCAAUAGUACUUAUAAAUCAUCUAUUCCUUUAUUGUGAGCUACAUUCAGAUACCAUUAAGCUAAAUUAUUGCUGUUAGACAAACAAGAACACAAGGGUGUCAUGCGGUCACCAAGUGACUUCACAUUCUUUUUCUUUCCAUAGGAAAUCAAUUCCUUACAGAGCCAGCUUGGGGACAGACUCAACAUUGAAGUGACUGCUGCCCUUCUGUCGAUCUAAACCGGGUUCUACAAGAAAUGAGAUGUCAGUAUGAGUCCAUCAUGGAGACAAACCGCAGAGAAGUGGAACAGUGGUUCAACACACAGGUGAGGAGGGUAGAAAGUCAAAACCGAAUAGCUGACCCUGCAUUUCCAGGCACCUUUCCAUCAAAGUCAUGUUUCCUUCAUAAUAUGCAUGGUCUUUGACUGUGUUUCAGAUGGAGGGGCUGAACCAGCAGGUGGUGACCAGCUCUCAACAGCAGCAGUUCUGCCUGAAGGACAUCACUGAGCUGAGACGCACCAUGAAUGCUCUGGAGAUUGAACUGCAGGCCCAGCACCGAAUGAGAGAUUCCCAGGAAUGCAUCCUGGCGGAGACAGAGGCCCGCUACACGGCCUUACUGGCCCAGAUCCAGUGUCUGAUUGAUAAUUGUGGAGGCUCAGCUGGCAGAGAUCAGGUGUGCCCUAGAAAGACAGAACCAAGAAUAUGAGAUUCUGCUGGAUGUCAAGUCCCAGCUGGAGUGUGAGAUUGCCACAUACCGCAGCCUUCUGGAGAGUUCGGAUGUCGAGCUUCCCUGUAACCCGUGUGUCACCACAUGUGAGCCUUCCAGUAAGGCCAGCACCAUGGAAUGCACAGCCCCGGCUUACAAUACAUCAUCCUCAGCCUCCCGCGGAUCACAUGAGCUCUGCUGUACCUGCAGAGUACUGCCCCAAAUACUGGUUAAAAUCUUCACCAUCACGCAGGAGAUCAGGGAUGGCAAAGUCAUUUCUUCUCACGAGCACGUGCAGCCUUGCUUCAUCCCCAGAAUUGUCAAAGCCUAACAACCCAAGGGAAUGGGAGUUGGUUCCGACUGUUUAACAAGGGACAGGGAGCUGGAACUCUCACAUCAUAACCCUGCUCUUGCCUCUCCCUGUGACUGGUGCUCAUGAAAAAAUAGCUUAGAUUCCUCCUGCAAUCCAUCCAUCAAAGAGAAGUGGUCUUAAUACCACCAACUUUGCACAAUAACUUUGAUUAUUGAAUGGUUGCUGCUUGCAAGGACAACACAGUGAGAAGAUACCAUUUAUGUACGAUCGCGCAUUUCCAAACUUCUCACGAGUAGGUCCCAGAGGGUUUCAGUCAAUCCCUACAAAAAUUAUUCGAUGUUUCCAGAAGAUUUAGUAAAUAACGACAAACCAAAUACAGAAUGUGGAGUCAAAAGACCUGACGUCCUAAACUUGCCACUUAGGACCCAGGGCAAAGCAUCUAGCCUCUUUCAAAUUUAAUUUCCUUAUUUGUUAAAGGAGGACCAUGGCUACUUGACAGGUUUGUAGCGUAGAUCAAAGGAAAUUGUUUAUGGCAUCUACUUGGUACACGGAAGAGCAAUAUGCAGAAUGUUAUGUUUAUAUAAGCGCUUUUGCUUUGACGACAGCCGAGA